AUGGCUGGAGGAGGUCGCUCGGUGAGGACACACCGCAUCCAGAGGACAGAUGUUAGUCUGAGGAACUCAGUCGGUCCGCGCACAUUCGAACUCUCCUCAUCCAAGUGUGAUUCCUCCUCUUCCCGCAGCGGCACCGCGCAGCCUCCUGCGCGCACGCACACACACACACACACAAUGUCGGAACUCUCUGUCAACGAGCACCUCGAAGGGAUUUUAUCAGAUUUUGAAGCUCUGAAGCGAUCCUUCGAAAUUGAAGAUGUGGACGACAUACCAUCCUUCUCCUCGACUUCCCCUAUCUCCACACCAAUAACCCCCUCUUCCUCCCACUUCUUCCUUAAUCACAAUAAAGCCACAGAGGGGCAAGGGGGAGAUGGUCAAUCCCCUUCAUUAGCCUUCAACAACAACAACAACAACCUGGGCUCUUCAGCCCAUCACUCCUGCAUAAGCCUUGGUUCCAGUCCCAGCCCAGUCCUCAAGUCCCGUACAGUAGUCAGCAGCCUGUCCUUCAACAGAGGAACCAUGAACAAGCAAACCAUCCACCAUAACGGCUCCUCUGUGACCAGAGCCUCAUCCUUCCAGAGCAGAUUAAAUCCCAACAGUUACUCCAUGUUGUCUGGGCCCAGCAGUGACAACGACAGCCUUCACAGCUCCACGUCCAGCCUUGAGUACUCUGGAGGGGGUGGCGGUGCCCUCCCUCUUUCAAAGCUUGGGUCAUACCCUAACCCUCCAUCUCAGGUGGAGUACCACCGAACCCAGCCCAAACUCCCACAACAGCACCUGGGUGGAGAUGCAAACUUAAUAAUUAACCACAGGCUGAAGAAGUUCUCCUCCCAUGGGAGUGUUUUCCCUACCGAAAUGGACAAGGGACCAGGGAUGAUGCUGGGCGUUCCACAGCCUCUGGGGGUUAACCAUGGGUCCAUGCCUAGCCUGGACCUCCAAAUUCGUGAUGGAGGAGGAGGUAUAGUGGGUAUGCAAAGAGGUGGGGGCAGGGUGUCUCCAGGGUUGAGGUAUGCCAAUGUCACCUGGAAUGGUCAUCUUCAUAAUGACACUUCUUUUGGGGUGGAAGGCAACUGUGGCUCCAAAAACCCGUGCCAGCAACAAAGCCCCACUGUCCCCAAGGCCCCCCAGCCUAAGGUCAAAGAGAUACCACGUCUCAACAAGUUUCCCUUGGAUCUGGACAACUUGGUAAGCAGCACCUCAAAAAACUCUGCCAUGAAAGCCAACCAUCCCAAGCCUCAUCCAAGGAGCACAGGAGAUCUCCAGUACCACACCAGCCCACCACCCACGUCAGCCAGCCCUUCAGCCUCUCUCAGCAGCCUGGACGGUUCUUCUGACACCCUGCCCAAUCCCUUUUUGUCUUUCUCCAAAUGUCCCCCAACUCGUUUGCAGGGCUCAAUCCCUGUCACAGGGAUGAGUUGCUCUCCUAUCCCCCUGACUUCAGCACAGAGCCCUCAGCUGGAGGCUGUCUCAGGGCCCCAAAUUAGUCAGAUGUUCCCCAUCCUGCAUGGCCCUUACAGCUCUUCAAACCCUUCAAGCCCCGGAGCCAUUCGGUCUUUGAAGAAUAGUGCCGUUGAUGCCAGAGAAAGUGUAGGCUCAAUCUUACAAAGGAUUGCCUCCUUCUCUUGCCCUGUUACCAGUGACACCACACAAGCAGCUGUGACCCAGCACCCUACAGCCCAAAGCAAUGGGUGGUUGUCUUCUCCAAGUGGGUGUCCUACUGUGACCCUUCCCUCAAGGAUACAGGGGAAGAAGACUCAUGCUGGUAAGAAUUUUUUUCUUCAAAAUUCUUAAAAAGUGAAAGUUGUGUGUCCGUGGUUCAUGAGAUGAUCCCAAAGGAUAUAUAUAAUUGAUAUAUCGCAUUCCAUAUCCCCUUACCCCAACCUUAUCUAUCAGAACUGUGCCUAACCCUAACUUAGAGUUUAUGUGACUUUAUGUGACUUUUUUUUUUUUCUAUUUGAUUUAUAAAGCGCUUUUCAUGCACCCAAAGCGCUGGUACAAAAAAAUAAAAAAAAAUAAAAAAAUAAAAGUGUGACAAAUGUUUAAUUUCUCUACUCUGGCAGGGGUUCAGGAUGGAUAGCUUCUCCUCCACUAAUCACAGGGCAAAUAGUAAAUGUUUCAUCUGAUGGGAUGGCUGGAUGUUUACAUGAGAAUCUUGUCUAGUGCAGAUUCGAAAAACAGAAGGGGUGUUGUUACCCUAACAGGAGGGGACUUUCCCCUCAGCUCCUCCAAGCUCAUCCUGGAGUUAGUCCACUUCCUCUGAGAAGGAAGAGAGAUAAACCAACUGUGGCUUUGUUCUCAAUUCACAUUUGAAAGAGGGCUCUCUUAACAACCACAGAGAUAAACAAGACUUCUGAGUCUUUAUUUUGUGUGGCGUGUAGUAAGUUACUCUACCGGGAACUCUAAGGCUAAAAAAACAAGCCAUAAUGCACUCUAUUAAUAUAACAGACUCACUCCAUCAGGACAGAUCAAUAUUUGCCUGUUUUUCCACUUUUUUUUUCUAUUUCUAUAUCCAUUUAUUUAUGUAUGUGUAAUAAUCGAGUGGCGACGAGCUGUUCUGUCUAUUUAGAAAAACAUAUUUCCCUACUUGAAAUUACACACAAAUUCACUGUAAUUCAACAUGUCUCAGUUUUCCACCUUCACUUAUACGCAGGGUUAGAGCAGCAUACAUUUAUGAAUCUUUGUUUAGCUGAUGUGACACAUGCACAUGUAAGCUGAUCUGUGCGUAUAAUCCGUGCACUCGCAUUUAAC
rnacentral:lncRNA from 1 species